CAUAUUUUUCAUAAACCCUACCCCAAGAGAAGCAGCACCCCCACAAAAAUCUCCACGCUUCUGCCGAUCCAUUUAAAAAAAAUCCAUUUUCCACGAAAACCUUUCAACCUUUUCAGAAACACCUUACCAAUCAAAGGCAGAAGCUUCUUUGAUUCAAACCUGCCGGAACGGAUCAAGACAAAGCCAGAAGCUUUUGCUGGAUUUUCUCAACUAUUUCUGCAGCUCAUAGCACACAAGAAACACCAGAUUUGGCUGGAAUUUUUAUGCAUAUAAUUUACACUCAUAGGAAGAUCAGCCACACGCACUUAAUGGGAUGUCACCAAUAGCUUACAGCUUCACCUCCAACGACUCUCCACCGCCCCUUAGUCCUUUACAAUUCAUUGACACGCUCAUUGGACGCUCCUAACUGGAAAUAAGAAAUUGAUUAAUUGUUUUCUUUGUCUGUGUGUGUCUGAAACGGCAGCCUCUCUUUGAUCUUUUUCUAAACGAAAAUUCCAACUCCUCUCAGCCAUGGUUGGAGCUUGGCCGGUCUGUUUUUGUGCAAGAAAUCCAUUAGUUCCAUUUUUUUGAUCUAGUUCGAGUUUUCCGGCGAGCUUCGAGGUCACCGAUUUCCGAUCCCGGCUCUUGUUCAUACCAUUGCUGUAAUUGAAAGGGUGUCGCACCUUGAGGUAUGGAUCCAUGUUCCAGAGCUCGAGCAUGACAGAUAACCCAGGACCAUCGCAUUUGGGAGCUUGUUUGAGGAAACUUUUUAUGUUUUGAGUCUAUUUUUGUGGUGUUUCUUUUGCUUUCUAGUACUGUCUAGUAGUAUUCAGUCUUUUAGUUGGUGUCAGAGUUUGUCGUAGUAUAGUUGAGUUUGUCGAGUCUCUCGUUAUCAUACUUCUUGUUUUGUAUUUGAAAACUGAAAAAAAAGUUAUAAAUGAAAAAUCCAAAAAGAUUUUUGUUUUUGGUUUA